UACGUAGGUGGCAAGCGUUGUCCGGAAUUAUUGGGCGUAAAGCGCGCGCAGGCGGUUCCUUAAGUCUGAUGUGAAAGCCCCCGGCUCAACCGGGGAGGGUCAUUGGAAACUGGGGAACUUGAGUACUGAAGAGGAAAGCGGAAUUCCACGUGUAGCGGUGAAAUGCGUAGAGAUGUGGAGGAACACCAGUGGCGAAGGCGGCUUUCUGGACCGUAACUGACGCUGAGACACGAAAGCGUGGGUAGCAAACAGG
rnacentral:rRNA from 1 species